UACGGAGGGUGCAAGCGUUAUCCGGAUUCACUGGGUUUAAAGGGUGCGUAGGUGGGUAUGUAAGUCAAUGGUGAAAUCCCCGAGCUUAACUUGGGAACUGCCGUUGAUACUAUAUAUCUUGAAUAUCGCGUAGGUAAGCGGAAUAUGUCAUGUAGCGGUGAAAUGCUUAGAUAUGACAUAGAACACCAAUUGCGAAGGCAGCUUACUUCACGAUUAUUGACACUGAGGCACGAAAGCGUGGGGAGCAAACAGG
rnacentral:rRNA from 1 species